CCUCUCCUCUGAUCCACUCUUUAAUACCACUGUGGACAUAGUGAUGAAAAAUAAGAAAUGGACUGGUGAAAUCCAGAGGAAUUUAGUUUUUGAUAGCCUUGCUUCUCCCUUUUUCUGUCACUGUCUUCUGUUACUCGACUGACCCUCACCUUCCACCCUGUGCCUCUUAUCUGUCAGUGAUCCCUCAUUCUCCUGACUGUGAUUGGCAGCCUUUAAGGAAAGCUCUCCAACCAGAGUGGAGGAGGUCCCGGUACAAAAGAAAGUCACCACAAAACAAACAAUCUGAUGAGAAUGUGGCGUUUUGCUAACUCACUGCUGAAUCCAACAAAGGCAUGAGAACAGAGUAUGGAAGCGUAAAUGUUAUAUGAAACUUUUUUUUUUUUUGGGAUAAAAUGCUUUCUUCUAUUCCAGUAGACUACAAUAAAAAUGUAAACAAAAUGUAAACACUGGGCAUCUGUUUUGCUAUAAAACAUUUUCGUUGUUUGUUUAAGCAUCACCAGCCUGACACAACACUGGCUUAACCAAUGGCAUCAGUUUGGGGCGGGACUAGCUGUUUAUCCAUCCAAUGGCAGAUGAGGCUGAUGUGCACUCCAAUGGGUUUGGUGGAAAGCUGCGGAAACUUCCUGUCAGGGCCUGCCGUGAGAUCAACACCUGUUGGAGUGAGACGGAGGAGUCACUGAGUCCCGACUGGUGUGUUGCUUUCCAGCCCACACACUGAAAUCACACAAACACACACACAAGAAGCACAAACAAAUAAUACUAUCUGAUUCCUCAAAACUCGAAAAUGUGUCUGAAAUGCUAGAUUAGUCUGACGGCUACUCGCGUUAAAAGCCAAAAAUAUAAAAUGUAUAAAACCUCAGUUACUGCAUGUAAGGCUUUUUGAUUUAUGCAGAUUUGGCAUUGUGCAGUCUAAAAAAACAAACAAACAAACAAAACAAAACAACGCUUUACUCUAUACUAUGUAUUUGCCAAAACUAAAGUGUAAAAAAAGUUUAUUUUAUGUGGGUUUGAUCCAAAAAUAAAAUGAGA
ensembl:lncRNA